rnacentral:rRNA from 1 species
GGUUAAGCGACUAAGCGUACACGGUGGAUGCCCUGGCAGUCAGAGGCGAUGAAGGACGUGCUAAUCUGCGAUAAGCGUCGGUAAGGUGAUAUGAACCGUUAUAACCGGCGAUUUCCGAAUGGGGAAACCCAGUGUGAUUCGUCACACUAUCAUUAACUGAAUCCAUAGGUUAAUGAGGCGAACCGGGGGAACUGAAACAUCUAAGUACCCCGAGGAAAAGAAAUCAACCGAGAUUCCCCCAGUAGCGGCGAGCGAACGGGGAGGAGCCCAGAGCCUGAAUCAGUGUGUGUGUUAGUGGAAGCGUCUGGAAAGGCGCGCGAUACAGGGUGACAGCCCCGUACACAAAAAUGCACAUAUUGUGAGCUCGAUGAGUAGGGCGGGACACGUGGUAUCCUGUCUGAAUAUGGGGGGACCAUCCUCCAAGGCUAAAUACUCCUGACUGACCGAUAGUGAACCAGUACCGUGAGGGAAAGGCGAAAAGAACCCCGGCGAGGGGAGUGAAAAAGAACCUGAAACCGUGUACGUACAAGCAGUGGGAGCACGCUUCGGCGUGUGACUGCGUACCUUUUGUAUAAUGGGUCAGCGACUUAUAUUCUGUAGCAAGGUUAACCGAAUAGGGGAGCCGAAGGGAAACCGAGUCUUAACUGGGCGUUAAGUUGCAGGGUAUAGACCCGAAACCCGGUGAUCUAGCCAUGGGCAGGUUGAAGGUUGGGUAACACUAACUGGAGGACCGAACCGACUAAUGUUGAAAAAUUAGCGGAUGACUUGUGGCUGGGGGUGAAAGGCCAAUCAAACCGGGAGAUAGCUGGUUCUCCCCGAAAGCUAUUUAGGUAGCGCCUCGUGAA